rnacentral:tRNA from 1 species
GCGCCCGUAGCUCAAUGGGAUAGAGUAGCGGACUUCGAAUCCGAGGGUUGGGCGUUCGAGUCGCCCCGGGCGCG